rnacentral:rRNA from 1 species
GCGUGGGAAUAUACCCAGUUCUAAGGAAUAGCCACUGGAAACGGUGAGUAAUACCUUAUACGCCUCGGGAAGGAUUAUCGAUGAUAGCCGCGUAGAUAGAUAGUUGGUGGGGUAAGUGGCCUACCAAGUCUACGAUCUAUAGCCGGUUUGUAGAGGAUGAUCAGCAACACUGGGACGUGAGACACGGCCCAGACUCCUACGGGAGGCAGCAGUGGGGGAAUCUUAGACAAUGGGCGCAAGCCUGAUCUAGCCAUACCGCGUGAGUGAUGAAGGCCUUAGGGUCGUAAAGACUCUUUCGUC